GGCGGACGGGUGAGUAACGCGUAAGAACUUGCCCUUUAGACUGGGAUAACAGAGGGAAACUUCUGAUAAUACUGGAUAAGUUAGUAUAUCGCAUGAUAUGCAAAUGAAAGCUACGGCACUAAAGGAGAGCUUUGCGUCCCAUUAGCUAGUUGGUAAGGUAAGAGCUUACCAAGGCGAUGAUAGGUAGCCGGCCUGAGAGGGUGGACGGCCACAAGGGGACUGAGAUACGGCCCUUACUCCUACGGGAGGCAGCAGAU
rnacentral:rRNA from 1 species